rnacentral:rRNA from 1 species
UACAGAGGGUGCAAGCGUUAAUCGGAAUUACUGGGCGUAAAGCGUGCGUAGUCGGUUAUCUAAGUCGGGUGUGAAAUCCCCGGGCUCAACCUGGGAAUUGCAUUCGAUACUGGAUAGCUAGAGUUCGGCAGAGGGAAGUGGAAUUUCUGGUGUAGCGGUGAAAUGCGUAGAUAUCAGAAGGAACAUCAGUGGCGAAAGCGACUUCCUGGACCAGAACUGACGAUCAGGCACGAAAGCGUGGGGAGCAAACAGG